GGCGGCCUACCAUGCAAGUCGAGCGGAAACGAUCCUAGCUUGCUAGGAGGCGUCGAGCGGCGGACGGGUGAGUAAUGCAUAGGAAUCUGCCCGGUAGUGGGGGAUAACCUGAGGAAACUCAGGCUAAUACCGCAUACGUCCUACGGGAGAAAGCAGGGGCUCUUCGGACCUUGCGCUAUCGGAUGAGCUUAUGUCGGAUUAGCUGGUUGGUGAGGUAACGGCUCACCAAGGCGACGAUCCGUAGCUGGUCUGAGAGGAUGAUCAGCCACAUCGGGACUGAGACACGGCCCGAACUCCUACGGGAGGCAGCAGUGGGGAAUAUUGGACAAUGGGGGCAACCCUGAUCCAGCCAUGCCGCGUGUGUGAAGAAGGCCCUCGGGUUGUAAAGCACUUUCAGUGAGGAAGAAGGCUUGUCGGUUAAUACCCGGCAAGAAAGACUCACUCACAGAACACCCACCUGCUAACUCCGUGCCAAGAUCCUCGCUAAUACGUAGAGUGC
rnacentral:rRNA from 1 species